GACGAACGCUGGCGGCGUGCUUAACACAUGCAAGUCGAGCGGUAAGGCCCUUUCGGGGGUACGACGAGCGGCGAACGGGUGAGUAACACGUGGGUGACCUGCCCUCAGCUCUGGGAUAAGCCUGGGAAACGUGGGUCUAAUACCGGAUAUGACUCCAUGACGCAUGUUGUGGGGUGGAAAGCCUUGUGCGGCUAGGGAUGGGCCCGCGGCCUAUCAGCUUGUUGGUGGGGUGAUGGCCUACCAAGGCGACGACGGGUAGCCGGCCUGAGAGGGCGACCGGCCACACUGGGACUGAGACACGGCCCAGACUCCUACGGGAGGCAGCAGUGGGGAAUCUUGCGCAAUGGGCGAAAGCCUGACGCAGCGACGCCGCGUGAGGGAUGACGGCCU
rnacentral:rRNA from 1 species